GGAUUGCCCCAGUAACGGCGAGUGAAGCGGCAACAGCUCAAAUUUGAAAUCUGGCCCCCCCCCCCCCCCCCCCGGGGGGCCCGAGUUGUAAUUGCAGAGGAUGCUUUUGGCGCGGCGCCUUCCGAGUUCCCUGGAACGGACGCCAUAGAGGGUGAGAGCCCGUCUGGUCGGACGCCUAGCCUCUGUAAAGCUCCUUCGACGAGUCGAGUAGUUUGGGAAUGCUGCUCAAAAUGGGAGGUAUAUGUCUUCUAAAGCUAAAUACCGGCCAGAGACCGAUAGCGCACAAGUAGAGUGAUCGAAAGAUGAAAAGCACUUUGAAAAGAGAGUUAAACAGCACGUGAAAUUGUUGAAAGGGAAGCGCUCGUGGCCAGACUUGGGCGCGGUGAAUCAUCCGGCGGUCCCCGCCGGUGCACUUCGCCGCGCCCAGGCCAGCAUCGGUUCGCGGCGGGGGAUAAAGGCAGCGGGAACGUGGCUCCCCCGGGAGUGUUAUAGCCCGCUGCGCAAUACCCCGCGGGCGGACCGAGGUACGCGCACCCGCAAGGAUGCKGGCGUAAUGGUCACCAGCGACCCGUCUUGAAACACGGACCAAGGAGUCGUCCUCGUAUGCGAGUGUUCGGGUGUCAAACCCCUACGCGUAAUGAAAGUGAACGCAGGUGAGAGCCUCGGCGCAUCAUCGACCGAUCCUGAUGUUCUCGGAUGGAUUUGAGUAAGAGCAUACGGGGCCGGACCCGAAAGAAGGUGAACUAUGCCUGUGUAGGGUGAAGCCAGAGGAAACUCUGGUGGAGGCUCGCAGCGGUUCUGACGUGCAAAUCGAUCGUCAAACAUGGGCAUGGGGGCGAAAGACUAAUCGAAC
rnacentral:rRNA from 1 species